rnacentral:rRNA from 1 species
CCCUUCGGGGACAAAGUGACAGGUGGUGCAUGGUUGUCGUCAGCUCGUGUCGUGAGAUGUUGGGUUAAGUCCCGCAACGAGCGCAACCCUUGAUUUUAGUUGCCAGCAUUUAGUUGGGCACUCUAAAGUGACUGCCGGUGCAAGCCGGAGGAAGGUGGGGAUGACGUCAAAUCAUCAUGCCCCUUAUGACCUGGGCUACACACGUGCUACAAUGGAUAGUACAAAGGGUCGCGAAGCCGCGAGGUGGAGCUAAUCCCAUAAAACUAUUCUCAGUUCGGAUUGUAGGCUGCAACUCGCCUACAUGAAGCCGGAAUCGCUAGUAAUCGUGGAUCAGCAUGCCACGGUGAAUACGUUCCCGGGCCUUGUACACACCGCCCGUCACACCACGAGAGUUUGUAACACCCGAAGUCGGUAGGGUAACCUUUAUGGAGCCAUCCGCCGAAGGUGGGACAGAUAAUUGGGGUGAAGUCGUAACAAGGUAGCCGUAUCGGAAGGUGCGGCUGGAUCACCUCCUUU